AGGUGACGGUGGCAGCUUGAUGGCUCAUAUAUAGUUCCAUUUAAAGCUAAAUCUCAAGGAGCUUUUCAUCACUAGAUGAUGAAUGAAAAGUAGGGGGAGUAUAUAUAUAUAUAUAUAUAUAUAUAUAUAUAUAUAUAUGAGAGUAAUAUAUAGGAGCAUGGCGUCAGAUUUUGUUGAAGAUCUUAUUAAAGCAUAUAGUUGUAUAGAGUAAAUAGGGUUAUGUACUUACUACUGGAGUUGGACAGCCAUGUCCAUAUGACAGUCUUUUUGCUUGAAAUGUCCACUUCAAUUCAAUACUAUAUGCUACUUCAGGCCAGGCAUCAUUUCUUCCCUACACUAUUGAGAUACCAACUUUGAUACUCACUCAAUCUCCUCCACCUUCUACCUUCCUCUUCCCCAUCCUUCCUUAUCAUCCAAUCCCUUUCUCUUCAUUAUUAUAUAUAUACAGAGGCUUUUACAGGAAAAUUUCUUAAUGAACAACAUUCUAUGUGAUGGAUGCUAAAAACACCCGAUUUGUAUUUAAGAAGAAACACAUUUUGAGAGAGUUGCUUCAGUCAAAGUGAACCAGUGUUCUUGCAGCCAAACAAAAGACACUGCGAUGGAAGAAGUUAAAGCUGAAGAAUUCUACAUAAGGAAUCAGAAUUCAACAAAAAUAAUUGGGUUUUACUGUAAAGGGACAUGAAUUUUCAAAUAUUCUCUGCCAGACGCUACAUUGAAAUAUUCAUCGUAGCUGGAUAUUAAUGUAUUUUUGGUCAUUUUUUAUUCUUAUAUCACGUUAGUGGCAUUUUCCUGUA